AUGUCCAAUCCUAAACCUAAUGGCUACCAUUUUGGUGCUUCCAUCUCCACCAAUUCAUGUCUACAAUUCAAACUUCAUGCCUCGCCUUCGAAUGUCUCAAACAUAUUCCUAUGCUUCCUCUCAAUUUGCUCAUAUACUGAAACAUCCCUAUUUCAAUCAAUUGACACAAGCUCACAUGAAUGUCGGGAGUAUGUCGUGCUGCAAACACAUGAGAGAAAAGUGAGCAAGUUCAUACACUAG